rnacentral:misc_RNA from 1 species
GAAAUGCGAUAAGUAAUGUGAAUUGCAGAAUUCCGUGAAUCAUCGAAUCUUUGAACGCACAUUGCGCCCCCUGGCAUUCCGGGGGGCAUGCCUGUCCGAGCGUCAUUGCUAACCCUCCAGCCCGGCUGGUGUGUUGGGCCGUCGUCCCCUCCGGGGGACGGGCCCGAAAGGCAGCGGCGGCGCCGCGUCCGGUCCUCGAGCGUAUGGGGCUUUGUCACGCGCUCUAGUAGGCCCGGCCGGCUUGCUGGCCAACGACCUCACGGUCACCUAACUUCUCCCUUAGGUUGACCUCGGAUCAGGUAGGGAUACCCGCUGAACUUAA